GACGGGUUUCCGGUGAUUAACCGUUUGGCUGUGAUCCAAAGAGUCCAGAGUUCCAGUGUGUUCCAAGCCAGAGAUGAUGGCAGGAGAGAAGGCAGGUGCAGCAGGUGAUCUGAGUGGUGUAGUGACCAGCGGUGAAAAGCAGGUGCCACUAUUUGGCAGCUGAUUUUCACCAGAAGACUCGCACUGUCACAGCAAUACUACAGGAUAUGACAUAUGACUAAUUCAGCAUGAGAUCCAUCACUCCAAGAAAAUUCACUCCCAGCAGACCUCGAAUAUGGAGCUCUGGUGAAAACAAAAGGUUGUGGUGUGAAGUUGCCACCCAGUCCUGAGUAAUGGAUGUAAUUAACUGGGCAUGGUAGCAUUGAGCCUUUACAUAGCAUAAGUAAUAGUCAUGCUCGAGAAAAUCACUGGGUAAUGGGCAAUUCCCCUCCCAGCUGGGAAGCUAAAUCUCUGAUCUCCUUUUUCUAAAUUACCCAAUUAAAGCUUAUGUGGCA